UUCAAUAUCUUGUGUUAUCCCAAUAUCCCUAGGAGGCCUCAUUGGUGGUUCAUCAUCACUUUGUGCCUUCUUUUUUUCUUUCCUCGAACCAUAAUGCCGCAACAUUAAAGCAUAUCUCGUGCGAAGAAGAUCUGGAUCAAAGUUGAUAGUUGGAACACUGUCAACAGUUAGAACAUACACAUAAAUUACUCUUGCCAUGUAUAUUUUGAGAACGCAACACCUAUACAACAUGAAAAUACAAUUAUAUGUCUAAACAGUGCAGCAUAUGUAUUUAAGAAUAUACAUCCUAAAAGUUACAUUACAUCUUAAAGUAACAUCACUAGUUCAUAACUUAGUUAGCAAACAUCAAUAUAUAAACAUUGUCAUUUACUCUUAAUAAACAUAUACAACUGUGUAAAAAAUAUAAAUAUUUGCAGUACAAAUAAGAAAAUACAUUUCUAAAAGAUAACAAAUACAUUUCAUAUGAUUCUAAACAAAAAAAUUACAUAUGUAUUUUAUUUAUACAUAUUUUGUCCAAAUAUCAUAUUUAUCAAUAAACAAAUUACAUAUGUAUUUUGGGCAAUACUCGUGCCACGUAUAUUUGAUCACGCAUGAUCUAUACAACAAAAAAAAUAUAAUUAUAUGACAAAACAGUGUCUUAUAUGUUUUUAUGAAAUACAUCUUAAAACUAGUUUAGACAUGUCACACCCCUCUUUUCGCUCAAAGGAAUCGAGUCGAAGGAUUUUUUCAAUUAAAGUGACAAUAUUGAGUAGGAAUUAUUUUUUAAUUAUGGAGUCGCCACUUGGAAUUGAAUUAUGGUGUUCGAGGUCACCUUAUUAGAUUCCUAGUCAAAAGAAAAUAACUCUUAUUGUGGUCUGCAAAAAUAGAAGACCGGGUAAGGAAUUCUGUUGACCGAGGGGAAGGUGUGAGGCACCCCUUGAGUCCUGUGGUUCUAGCACGGUCGCUUCAGUGACUUACACUUAACUAAAUCUAUUUCGAUAAAUUGUGUUAAGGCCUAAAUUCGCUCAUUUUAUUAUACUGAAAACUUGUGUAUUAUCUUAUAUUAAAUAAAUCAUGUGAAAAUUAAUUUUUGAAAAAUAUAUGUCAAAGUACAUUAUAGCAUCCUUGAAUUUUAAAAUGUCUCAGAAAGAUGCGUACACCGCAUUCUUUAGAGACGAACAUUUUAAAACGUGCCUAAAGUUCAUUUAGUGUUAAAAAGCAUUUGUUUCGUCUCUUGUAAACUCGAAACAAUUUUACAUUAUCGAUUUUUAUUCUUUUUCUCUCUUUAUUUUGCAAUGAAUUUUGGAUUAUUCCGCAACUCGUUUCGCUCCCUUACAAAUGAGCUUAUCUCUUUUUUUUUUUCUUUUCCGCGAUGGAUUUUGAAUAAAUCCACAACUCAUCUCAAUUAAACUCCAUCGAGUUAAUUCAUUUAGACCUUAAGCGUAGUUAAUUUAUAGAAUAAUAUUAAAGUCCAAACAAUUAGAAGCCCGGGUUAUCUUUAUCAAAGUUAAAUAUACGUUUGAUGAGCCAAGUCUUAAAAAAAAAAAAUGUUUGGAGUAUCUUCAAACAAUUCCAACAGAAAAAAAAUUAUGACCAUGACUAGUAACGUUACUAAAUCGUGGCAUAAUUAAUGAAUUCAUAAAACACAUUUAAAUUAGCAUUGAAUUCAUGUAGAAAGAACCUUAAAUACUCUACCUAACAGAAAAAUAAAUUGCAUUUUUGCUAUGAGCAAUGAUUCAUUUAGUUUAAUCUCAAAUUACGCUUCUAGUGGCUAACUUAAAUCCAUAUAAAAUUUAAUGUAACUAACAAGAUAAAAUACCAACCUUCAGUUAUUCAAUUAUUAACAAGCACUAAAGACUAACAUCUUAAAAAUCAAAUUACCCAAAGCUAUACAUGAAUGUUUUGCCUGAGAUACUACUUAUUUCCCAUGAUUUUUAGAAUGCUUAAUUCAUGAAUAAAAAUUAUUUUAAGAACACACUAUGUGAAGUGCUGAGAAAACACCACACUCACUUAAUCAUUCAACCAAACUGAUUAAGUUUCAAAACACUAUAUGGAGUGUCAAGAAACACAACGAUAUACUUAUAAGAUGUACUAAACGGGAUAAAAAAAAUAACACUACUUCAAACCAAGAUCCAACAUAAGUAAUCCAAAACGUAUUCUAAAUAAAAAAUAAAAUUAAAUCGUUUCAAACAACAUUUUGUUCCUGUUUCUAUUCACAAUAACAUUUAUAAAAAUAGCAGUACAAGAUUGGAUAAAAACCUGUGUGGUAGAAUAACUAAAGUAGAAAUAAGGAUGCGUUCACCGAAAACUCAACGGAAACCAAUCUUGAUUCUCUUCCCCUUUUUAAGGUGUUCUCUGAUUUUCUUCUCUAGUUGAUUUUCAUUCUCUUUGAUGUUCACUCUAAUUUUUUUUGACUGAUGCAAUAUUGAUGUUGUAGUGUUUGAU
rnacentral:lncRNA from 1 species